rnacentral:misc_RNA from 1 species
UCCGAGUUGACCCCGGCAGUCUUCGAUGAGUCCCCGCCAUAACGCGCUGGCAACAUCGAACGAGGGUUUCGCUCGUUAUAGGACUUGACCAAACAUCUCACGACACGAGCUGACGACAGCCAUGCAGCAUCUGUGGUGCACCCUCGAAGGUCACACGUUUCCGUGCGCUUGCAGCACCACGUCAAGCCCAGGUAAGGUUCUUCGCGUUGCAUCGAAUUAAAGAACAUGCUCCGCUGCUUGUGCGGGCCCCCGUCAAUUCUUUUGAGUUUUAGCCUUGCGGCCGUACUCCCCAGGCGGAACACUUAACGCGUUGGCUGCGGCACAGAGGGAUUCGACUCCCCCCACACCUAGUGUUCAUCGUUUACGGCGUGGACUAC